rnacentral:rRNA from 1 species
GGGGUUGUAGGACCGCGACAUUGUAUGCAAAUCGUGAACAGAACACUUUGGAAAAUGUGACCAUAGACGGUGAUAGUCCAGUAUGUGAAGCGAAAUGCAGCAUAGCGGUAUCCUGAGUAACGCGGGACACGAGGAAUCCUGCGCGAAUCUGCCGGGACCAUCCGGUAAGGCUAAAUACUCCCGUGAGACCGAUAGCGAACGAGUACUGUGAAGGAAAGGUGAAAAGAACCCCGAGCAGGGGAGUGAAAUAGUUCCUGAAACCAUACGCCUACAAGCGGUCGGAGCAUCGUAAGAUGUGACGGCGUGCCUUUUGCAUAAUGAUCCUACGAGUUACCGUCACUGGCGAGGUUGAGUGUCACGAGACACGUAGCCGCAGUGAAAGCGAGCCUGAAGAGGGCGCACAGUCAGUGGGGGUAGACGCGAAACCAAGUGAUCUACACUUGGCCAGGAUGAAGUCCCGGUAACACGGGAUGGAGGUCCGCACCAAUAAGCGUUGAAAAGCUUCUGGAUGAGCCGAGUGUAGGAGUGAAAGGCCAAUCAAACUUGGAGAUAGCUCGUACUCCCCGAAAGGCAUUUAGGUGCCGCGUCGGAUGGUCACCGUGAGAGGUAGAGCGACCGAUAGGACAAGAGGGCUUCACCGCCUAUCGAGUCCUGACGAACUCCGAAUGCUCACGGUCUGCAGUCCGGCAGUAAGGGGGCGGGUGCUAAGGUCCGUCCCCGAGAGGAGAAGAAUCCAGACCGCCGUCUAAGGUCCCGGAGUUCUGCCUGAGUUAGUCUAACGAAGUCUGGUCCCUAUGACAGCUAGGAUGUUGGCUUGGAAGCAGCCAUUCAUUCAAAGAGUGCGUAACAGCUCACUAGUCGAGGGUCCGGGCAUGGAUAAUAAUCGGGUAUAAGGCAGACACCGAAGGCGCGGGAUAGCA